AACCUAGCACACCUGCGGUGUGUACCUGCGGAAGGAUCAUUACAAGUGACCCCGGUCUAACCACCGGGAUGUUCAUAACCCUUUGUUGUCCGACUCUGUUGCCUCCGGGGCGACCCUGCCUUCGGGCGGGGGCUCCGGGUGGACACUUCAAACUCUUGCGUAACUCUGCAGUCUGAGUAAACUUAAUUAAUAAAUUAAAACUUUUAACAAUGGAUCU
rnacentral:misc_RNA from 1 species